UACAGAGGGUGCGAGCGUUAAUCGGAAUUACUGGGCGUAAAGCGCGCGUAGGCGGCUUUGCAAGUCGGGUGUGAAAUCCCCAGGCUCAACCUGGGAACUGCAUUCGAGACUGCAUUGCUAGAGUAUGGGAGAGGGAAGUGGAAUUUCCGGUGUAGCGGUGAAAUGCGUAGAUAUCGGAAGGAACAUCAGUGGCGAAAGCGACUUCCUGGACCAAUACUGACGCUCAUGUGCGAAGGCGUGGGGAGCAAACAGG
rnacentral:rRNA from 1 species